rnacentral:rRNA from 1 species
UACGUAGGGGGCGAGCGUUGCUCGGAAUUACUGGGCGUAAAGGGUUCGUAGGCGGUCAGGCCAGUCGGCGGUGAAAUCUCCCGGCUUAACUGGGAGGGGUCCGCCGAAACUAUCUGACUCGAGGGCCGGAGAGGCGAGUGGAAUUACCGGUGUAGCGGUGAAAUGCGUAGAGAUCGGUAGGAACACCGGAGGCGAAGGCGGCUCGCUGGACGGCUCCUGACGCUGAGGAACGAAAGCUGGGGGAGCAAACAGG